UCGAGUUAGGGUCCUCGUGGCCCGAUCUCCAACCCUUUGUAUAACUACCAUGUUGCUUUGGCGAGCCCGUCUUUAACCGGACCGCCGGAGGUGUUAUAGCCUCUGGCCCGUGCUCGUCAGUAGCCCACAUAAAUUCUUUUUAACCAUGUUAAAUCUGAAACUAGUUAAAUAAACUA
rnacentral:misc_RNA from 1 species